rnacentral:misc_RNA from 1 species
UCAUUUAAACCUUCAAGCUUUGCUUGGUGUUGGGUGUUGUCUGCCGUUUCUUCUGCGGACUCGCCUUGAAUGAAUUGGCAGCCAGCAUUUGGUGUGUUGGAGCGCAGCACAUUUUGCGUUCUCGGCCAUAGUAGCGGGCGUCCAGAAAGCUUAUUUCAACGUUUGACCUCGGAUCAGGUAGGGAUACCCGCUGAACUUAA